rnacentral:lncRNA from 10 species
AAAACUUAUGUUGAAUUCAUAGGUUAGCCAUUAUACACAGUACUGCAAUGAACAUGGGAGUGUAAACAUCUCUUUGACACACUGAUUUCAAAUCUUUCAGGUGAUUUGUUGGACACACCAAUGCUCCUGACACAUGCUAUUCACUUGGAGCAGCUCCUCUUAUGUGGCACAUUCACAGUGCAACGGUAAGUCAUUUCACCAUCU